rnacentral:piRNA from 1 species
UGAUGGAAAAUCAUUACCACCAAUGUCUGCA